UGUUUUAUGGAUUUUAAUGUAAAAUAAUAUCUGCCCUAUGAAUAAUAUUUGAAUGGCCGCAGUAUCUUGACUGUGCGAAGGUAGCAUAAUCAAUUGUCUUUUAAUUGAAGUCUGGAAUGAAUGAUUUUAUGGGGAGUGACUGUUUUUUUAGUAAAAAUGAAUUUUUAAGGUAGGUGAAGAUACUUAUGAGUUAUUAAAAGACGAGAAGACCCCUUCAAGUUUUAUGUAUAAAUUAGUAUUAUGGAUUAAUAGUCUAAGUAACACAUUUUAUUGGGGCAAUAAUAUAAGAAGGUAAACUUUUAUUACACAAUAAUAUUAUUGAGUAUAUAUAAAUAUGAUCCAAGAUUUUGACUAUCAGACUAAAUUACUGGGGGGAUAACAGCGUAAUUUUUUUAUAGAGUUCUUAUCGAUGAAAAAGUUUGCGACCUCGAUGUUGGAUUAAGAUUCCCGCUUUAAUGCAGGUGUUAGGUGGGGUAGUCUGUUCGACUAUUAAAUUCUUACA
rnacentral:rRNA from 1 species